CUCUGUCUUGCAAGGCUCUCUCUCUCUCUCUCACUCUGUCUCUGUCUCUGUCUCUGUCUCUGUCUCUGUCUCUCUGUCUCUGUCUCUGUCUCUGUCUCUCUGUCUCUCUCUCUCUCUCUCUCUCUUUCUCACUCUCUCUCUCUCUCUCUCUCUCUCUCUCUCUCUCUCUCUCUCUCUCUCUGUCUCUCUCACUCUCUGUCUCUCUCUCUCUAUCUCUCUCUCUCUCUCUCACUCUCUGUGUGUGAGUGUGUCUGUCUCUCUCUCUCUCUCUCUCUCUCUCUCUCUCUCUCUCUCUCUCUCUCUCUCUCUCUCUCUCUCUCUCUCUCUCUCUCUCUCUCUCUCUCUUUCUGUCUCCCUUUCUCUCUUUCUCUCUCUCACUCUCUGUGUGUGAGUGUGUCUGUCUCAGUCUCUCUCUCUCUCCAGAGGCUCCAACUCCUAAGAGAGCAGCUCUCAGGUGAGUAGGACCUUGGUCUGCAUUCUUUUUUAUUGCCCCCUGGGCACUGCCCCUGAGUUCACACCAAAGGGGCCUGACACCUGGGUUCACACCAAGAGGGCCUUGUCAGCUGGUUCAUAUCAAAGUGGGCGUGGCACCUGGGUUCACACCAAGAGGAUCUUUGACACCUGGGUUCACACCUUUGGUCCCCUGGUGUGAGGGCUGCAUUCCCAGGAGUCUGAGAGGGCCUGGCACCUGCUAGUCCCCCACCACCACUCCCAUCCCCACCCCCAACCCAGGCAUUGGGUGUCUACCUUACUUCCUUUCUCUAGGUCUACAACCAAGAAUCAACUACCCAGCAAAACUGACUAUACUCUUACAGGGGAAAGUAUGGUCAUUCAACAAAAUAGAAGAAUUCCAAGAUUUUCUAAAGAAAAGACCAGACCUGAACAGAAAAUUGGAUGUACAAGCACAGAACUCAAGAGAAUCAUCAAAAGAUAAUUAAAAAAGAAAAAACAAAACAAAACAAAGGGAAUUCUUGUUAAGAGACUCAAUAAGUUAAAAUGAUACGUAUCCCUAUAAGAAAAGAGGUCAUUGGUAACUCUGAAAAACUGGUGUUAUUACCUGAGCAGCAAAAAGAAGUACACUUAGAGGGAACAGUGACAAACUCUAUAGGACGAAAGGACGUGACACAAAUAGGUAUAUAGAUAUAUGCAUGCAAAAGUACAUACACAUGAGCAUGCAU
rnacentral:lncRNA from 1 species